rnacentral:rRNA from 1 species
UACGGGGGGGGCAAGCGUUGUUCGGAAUUACUGGGCGUAAAGGGCUCGUAGGCGGCCAACUAAGUCAGACGUGAAAUCCCUCGGCUUAACCGGGGAACUGCGUCUGAUACUGGAUGGCUGGAGUUUGGGAGAGGGAUGCGGAAUUCCAGGUGUAGCGGUGAAAUGCGUAGAUAUCUGGAGGAACACCGGGUGGCGAAGGCGGCAUCCUGGACCAACACUGACG